AUGAACGCUGGCGGCGUGCCUAAUACAUGCAAGUCGAGCGAACAGACGAGGAGCUUGCUCCUCUGACGUUAGCGGCGGACGGGUGAGUAACACGUGGAUAACCUACCUAUAAGACUGGGAUAACUUCGGGAAACCGGAGCUAAUACCGGAUAAUAUAUUGAACCGCAUGGUUCAAUAGUGAAAGACGGUUUUGCUGUCACUUAUAGAUGGAUCCGCGCCUCAUUAGCUAGUUGGUAAGGUAACGGCUUACCAAGGCAACGAUGCGUAGCCGACCUGAGAGGGUGAUCGGCCACACUGGAACUGAGACACGGUCCAGACUCCUACGGGAGGCAGCAGUAGGGAAUCUUCCGCAAUGGGCGAAAGCCUGACGGAGCAACGCCGCGUGAGUGAUGAAGGUCUUCGGAUCGUAAAACUCUGUUAUUAGGGAAGAACAAAUGUGUAAGUAACUAUGCACGUCUUGACGGUACCUAAUCAGAAAGCCACGGCUAACUACGUG
rnacentral:rRNA from 1 species